rnacentral:rRNA from 1 species
AUUGAACGCUGGCGGAAUGCUUUACACAUGCAAGUCGAACGGCAGCACGGGGGCAACCCUGGUGGCGAGUGGCGAACGGGUGAGUAAUACAUCGGAACGUGCCCAGUCGUGGGGGAUAACGUAGCGAAAGCUACGCUAAUACCGCAUACGAUCUACGGAUGAAAGCGGGGGAUCGCAAGACCUCGCGCGAUUGGAGCGGCCGAUGGCAGAUUAGGUAGUUGGUGGGGUAAAGGCUCACCAAGCCUUCGAUCUGUAGCUGGUCUGAGAGGACGACUAGCCACACUGGGACUGAGACACGGCCCAGACUCCUACGGGAGGCAGCAGUGGGGAAUUUUGGACAAUGGGCGAAAGCCUGAUCCAGCCAUUCCGCGUGCAGGAUGAAGGCCCUCGGGUUGUAAACUGCUUUUGUACGGACGAAACGGCCUUUUCUAAUACAGAGGGCUAAUGACGGUACCGUAAGAAUAAGCACCGGCUAACUACGUG